rnacentral:lncRNA from 1 species
GUGCCAUAAAUGAAAAAUAAAAGAUAAAACAAAUCAAAAAAGCAAUCCAAAAGAACUGGCUUUAAAACGAUAAGGUCUGAACAAAAUAUUGUAAGGCCACAGGUCGAUAGCCAGAUGACACAUGAUCAGUACACCCAAAUGACAAGAGGCUUCAGGGAAACAAACAUGAAAACGCUAACAUUGUUAAACAACCAGCAUUCUGUGAAGUAGCACACAGCAGAGGAAUGAGUAGAUUCCCUUGGUCAUGUUUCUCAUAUUAGUGAGGCAUUUUUCAGGAUAGCAACUCACAGAGCAGUGUUUUGAUAAAUACAGUAAGGUCUUGAUCUCAUUUGAUAUUCACAUAAAGUCAAGAAUAUUCAUUACUUCUAUCAUUCACAUCAAGAUAUUACUGCUCUCCUUCCCAAAGGCAAAUCAAUAGGAGGCAACAAGCACUCCAAAGAGCAACUUACGAACAUAUAUGAUGAUAUAAUCUCAUAAAAUUUGGAGAGGGAAGUAACAAACAAUAACAUUAGGCAUUCAAUGAUCCAAUGUUUUAUUUGAAAAUAAUCUCUUGCCUGAAAAGAUUCUCAAAUCCCGUUUGGACUUAUUUAACACUGAACUUUACAGAAUUAGUUUUCUGUUUCAAAAAUGUAAUCAUUUUAAGAAAAUAAAUAUGCAUUCACAAGCACACUGAGAUAACAUCAUAAACUACACCUACAAAGACAUGGAAAAAUGAGACCAUGUAGGACAAUAUGAAUUGUCAAAUUCUUUCAUUUCAAUACUAAUAUCCAAAUUUAGAAGAUAAACACCAUACGUGCAUUUAUAUUAUAAUAUCUCCAAUAACAUUGAGUAGGUUAAUUU